GUCUACAUGAAACUUUUUAAUAUCUCCAAUAUCAUCUUUUAUAUUAAAGAAACUUUUUGAAGUUCAUGCUUGCACCAUAUCUCUUCAUAAUGACAUUUAGGUUGUUUUCUCCAUCUCUGCUACUUUAUUCAAUGAUUGCGUUGCUACUAAAUUACCACAAGCUGUGUGUAUGAAACAAGUAUUAGAUUUCUCCAAGUAUUGUGUUUUUGCAAAGAAAACAAAAUCUGGACAUAA
rnacentral:misc_RNA from 1 species